CGCUCGGUGUCCGCGGCCGGGUCACUGCCCUCACUGCGUCUCCUGGCUGGGGCGUCGCCAGAAGAAGGUUCUGAAGUCCCGUGAAAUCUGUGAUCAAGAAUUUGGCAGAUUUGGUGUCUGGUCAUAACCUGCUUCUUGGCUCACGGAUGGUUGUUCUCCGUCUUGUGUCCUCCCGUGGCUAGAGAGGAUCUCAUGGCUCCACUCUGAACUGCAGGAUAAGU